rnacentral:rRNA from 1 species
GAACGAGCUAAUACCGGAUAAUAUUUUGAACCGCAUGGUUCAAAAGUGAAAGACGGUCUUGCUGUCACUUAUAGAUGGAUCCGCGCUGCAUUAGCUAGUUGGUAAGGUAACGGCUUACCAAGGCAACGAUGCAUAGCCGACCUGAGAGGGUGAUCGGCCACACUGGAACUGAGACACGGUCCAG